UGGCCCCUGAACAAUCAGACAAAACGGGCAAAACAAGAAGAACUCCCUGACGAAGAGACAUGGAUCACACGAAAAAUCCGUGUUUUUGCCAAAACUGAUGAUUUCGAGAGGGCAUUAAGGUGGAGUAAAAAUGCUGAAUUGAAUUCCUCUGUAGAAAGCGACACUGACAUUAACUUCAAGAGGCCAACCAGAAAACCAAGCAGAUUCCAAGACAGCAGCGAUGAUGAGUGGGGAAGAGCCACCUGAAUGCCUAGCUUAAAGAGAAAGCUUAAAGAUGAACCCUUUCCUUGCCUCAAGGCAUCAACUGUAAGAAAAAGGCCAGACAAAGGUAUAAUAUUUUUUCAAUACUCACCUACUAGGCAAAUAUCAUUGUACAAAGUGCUUAA